UCUGUACACAAUCAGUUAUAUGCUAAUUACUUCAGCUUCUGCGGGAAUCACAUUUUGCGCUCUGUAUCUACUGAUCGAUGUUUACGGUUACAGGUGCAUUACAUCUCUGUUGGAGUGGAUGGGAGUACAUUCUUUGAGUAUUUUUGUUCUCGUAACUUCCAACCUAGCCAUUAUUGCGAUACAAGGAUUGUACUGGUCUGAUCCUGAAAAUAACAUUGUUCAUUGGGUCAUCACACGCUUUGUGCACAAGUGAAGUGGCUAUCAGACGCUCACUCCUGGAUAAAGCAUUUUAAACCCUUGAUUGGAAACUUGAUUGAGAUAUAUACUUUAUGAUUACUCCUCUUCAUAUUGAUCAAGUUUGCUCGGGAUCUGAAUAUUGGACUCCGAUUUUUACUGUUUCGAUCACGAAGCAGAUAACACUUUGGGAAGAGAUUUACUAUUGUCACAACCACACUCAUUGCUGACUCUGUUGCUGUAUAUCUCGCAACCAAGAUUAGUUCAACCACAAAAGAACGAACUAUCACUCUUUAUCCUAUUCUGCUUAUAUGUGCAGGAAAUUUUGGAACAAUUAAUUCCAUCAUCUAUAAUUGUUUUACAUGUAUAGCCUCGACAAUGUGACGUGAUCCAAGUUACUGUAUGUUGAAGUUGAAUCCCGACAACGUAAGUGAUGUUCAAGUUGGCUGGGUUGAACCGGUUUCGCACAGCCAAGCUAUUUCAACCGGCCAUGAUCCAUGUGAAUGUAUGUUCUGUAAAACUCAGUGGCUUAAGGUAGUGAUAAGAAAAUGAGGUUUACAUGUUUGUAUAGAUUAUGUUUCUUUAUUAAAAACCAUUUUCGUAUUAGUAUUUACUAAUACGCUGUACUUUUAA